GGUGCGAAAAUUGAUCCAGAAGAGGUUGAAAUCAACACAAGUGACAUUCAAAAGGGAGUUAAUGGCGUGGGGGCUGUUUUGAGUCAUCAUCAAGGGCUGAGUUUAAUUACUUGGCUAUUUUAAUCAUUUUUCAUCAAUUAAAACAAAUAAAAUUCAGCCAUUUAAAAGCCUAUCCAGAGUGGUUACAAAAGGAGCAUAAAAAGGAC
rnacentral:lncRNA from 1 species